GAAGUACUUAAUUUCUAAUGAUUUAGUUUGGCGUCCAUAACUGUUUCCUCAGAAAAUUGGAAAUUAAACGAAAAUUGCAGAUUUAAAAAAGAUGGGAAGAUCCAGAAGCAGAAGUAGAUCUCCUAGCAAACACCGCCAUCGCAGUAAGCAUUCUCAUAAGAGGUCUAGAUCGAGAGAAAAAAGCAAAGAACGGAUUAGUAAGUUAAGACUGACGAGUCGGACACCAGAAAGAAGAUUCCGCUCAAGGAAACAUUCCCGUUCAUCAUCAUCAAGUAGUAGCAGUGAUGCAUUAGAUGGAUUACAUAGUUCAAAUAGAAGAAAAAUGAAAAAGAUGGAUGAAGUUGAACGUUUAGCAGAAUUGGAAAGGCAGAGGUUGGUUAACUAAAUUUUAAAAUAUUUAAUAAGUUUGAUGAUAUUCAAUACAUUAAAAUAAUAUUUAUAUACUAAUAACUAUAAAAUUUUUUCUUUAAUAAUUUAUUUUAAAUAUUAUAUAAAUUAAAAAUACA
rnacentral:lncRNA from 1 species